rnacentral:lncRNA from 1 species
UCGGGAAGAGUCUGGGCAUCUCAAGGCCUCCUAUUAUAAUCUUGAAAAUUGAGAUUCACACAGCAAUGACAACAAAAACAACUGCUAGUCCUACUGAUAAUGCGGAUGUGAAUUUCAAUGAAUCUGCAACAACCACAGAGAAGGUACAUAAAUCUUACAAUAGUAUAAAAAUGAGCCUAGAUCGAUAAUCAUGAUAAGAAAUUUCCCAUGAUCCCAGUGUAUAACUUGAACACAAUAAAUAUUGCUCAAAGGAUUUAAUUUGUUGGUAUGAAAAGCCAGAUGUAUGAA